AGUGGCGUCAGGAGUCGGUGGUCGGGGGACUUUUCGAUCAACAAGAUGCCCAAGAGGUGUCGGAGGUUGGGGGUUGGGGGUCAGUGGCGUCGCGGGUGGUCUAUUAACAACUGCGUGUAGUUUUCUGCCAGGGUGUCGUCAGGAUGUCGUGUCGGGGUUUCGGGCAUCAUGUCGGGGUGUCGGGGUGUCAGGGUGUCAUUUUCUUCUUCAUCAUCUUCUUUUUUUCCUCCUCUUCCUUUUCUUCUUCUUCUUCCUUCCUUCCUUUUCUUCUUCUUCUUCUUCUUCUUCUUCUUCCUUCUUUUCCAUUUCCCUCUUCUUCUUCUUCUUCUUCUUCUUCUUCCUUAUUUUUCUUUUUCGUCUUCUUUAUUCUUCUCCUCUCUCCUAUUUUUCUUCUUCUUCUUCUUCUUCUUUUUAUCCUCCUCCUCCUCCUCCUCCUCCUCUUCUUCUUAUUCUUCUUCCCUUAUCUACUUAUUCUUCUUUUAUUCUUCAUCUUUUUUCUACGUAUUUCAAUUAUGACUAUGUAGAAUCUAAACCUAUCGCUAAACCUAUAUAGCACUAAACAGCAAAAAAUUAACAAAAACAGAAUCUACCAAUCAUUAACUAAAAAAGAAUCUACCACUAAUUAACAAAAUAGAAACUACCUCUAAAUUAACAAAUAACAAAUAACCUAGCACUAAUUAACUAAACCUAGGACUAAAUCUACUAUUUAACUAAAACAACUAAGUAAACUACCACUAAAUCAAAUAACUAAAUCAACUAACUAAAUCUAAUCAAAUAACAAAAAACAAACUCACUGAUACGUCUCCAAAGUAUCUAUAAUUUUUUAUGGUUUCAUGCUAUUAUCUUGUCAAACUUUGGAUGUUUUGUAUGCCUUUAUAUCUUUUUUGGGACUAACUUAUUAUCUGAGUGCCAAGUGCCAGUUCCUGUUUUUUCCAUGUUUUUGACCCUUUCAGAGGGGGAUUUUAAACGGAGUCCAAACGGAAUGAAACUUCCAAAAAGAUUUUUUCCGAAACAGAAGAAGAUCGGGAAGCGUAAGAACCAGGACACGGGGCCACCAGGGACCCCACAAGCCCCCUAGCCGCGACCAGGGGGCCCGCGCCUCCCAGGCUUGUGGGCUCCCUGGGCCACCUCUGCCCUAGGUCUUUCGCCUAUAUAUUCCCAAAAAUUCCAAAACAAUUAGGAGAUCAUCAAAAGUACUUUUCCGCCGCCGCAAGCUUCUGUCUCCGCAAGAUCCCAUCUGGGGCACGUUCUUGUGCCCUGCCGGAGGGGGGAUUCAGAUACGGAGGGCUUCUUCAUCAAAACCAUGACCUCUCUGAUGAUGCGUGAGUAGUUCACCAUAGACCUACGGGUCCAUAGCUAGUAGCUAGAUGGCUUCUUCUCUCUCUUGGAUCUUCAAUACAAAGUUCUCCAUGAUCUUCAUGGAGAUCUAUCCGAUGUAAUCUUCUUUUGCGGUGUGUUUGUCGAGAGCCAAUGAAUUGUGGAUUUAUGAUCAGAUUAUCUAUGAAUCUUAUUUGAGUUUCUGCUGAUCUCUUAUAUGCAUGAUUUCAUAUCCUUGUAAUUCUCUUCGAGUUGUGGGUUUCGGUUGGCUAGCUUGAUCUAUGAUUCUUGCAAUGGGAGAAGUGCUUGGUUUUGGGUUCAUACCGUGCGGUGACCUCACCAGUGAUAGAAGGGGUAGCGAGGCACAAAUCGUGUUGUUUCCAUCAAGGGUAAAAAUAUGGGGUUUUCAUCAUUGGUUUGAGAUUAUCCCUCUACAUCAUGUCAUCUUGCUUAAGGCGUUACUUUGUUCGUCAUGAACUCAAUACACUAGAUGCAUGUUGGAUAGUGGUCGAUGUGUGGAGUAAUAGUAGUAGAUGCAGAAAGUAUUGGUCUACUUGUCUCAGACGUGAUGCCUAUAUGUAUGAUCCUUGCCUUAGAUAUCGUCAUGACUUUGCGCUGUUCUAUCAAUUGCUGGACAGUAAUUUGUUCACCCACCGUAAUAUUUGCUAUUUUGAGAGAAGCCUCUAGUGAACACUAUGGCCCCCGGGUCUACUCCACACCAUAUUAUCAGCCUUACUCUUUUACUUCAUUGCACUUUCCGCCUUCAGAUCUCACUUUGCAAUCAAUCUUGAAGGGAUUGACAACCCCUUUAUAGCAUUGGGUGCAAGCUCGUUUGUGUUUGCGCAGGUACUCUAGACAUGACGAGAUUCUCCUACUGGAUUGAUACCUUGGUUCUCAAACUGAGGGAAAUACUUACUGCUCAUGUGCUGCAUCACCCUUUCCUCUUCAAGGGAAAAACCGACGAAAGCAAGUCUCCGUCAACAUGUCAAUUUCUGGCGCUGUUGUUUGAGAAGUAGCAAGAAGAAUUUUUGGCGCCAUUGCCGGGAAGGAUCAAGUCAAGAACUCAUCCAAGUAAGUGUCGCAAACUCAUCUCUUGCAUUUACUCUUUUGCCUCUCGUUUUCCUCUCCCCCACUUUUGAAAAACAAAAAUUUACAAAAAGAUUUGCCCUUUUCUUCGUUUGCCUUUUGCCUUUUCGUUCGCCCUUUUCUCUCGCUUGCUUUCUGUUCGUUUGUGUGGGAUAGUCUACCUGUCCUCAUGGCUAGAUACACCACUUCAAACGAUACUCCCGAGAACGAAGUUCUCAAUUUCAAACAAAUUGAGGAAGAAAACAUAAAUGAGGCUUGGUAUAGGAUUUGCAAUGCUCAGAGUAGAUCUACUCAUAAGCAAUCUACUACCGUCCCUGCUUCGCAGUUUUUAUGUGGGUGUUUCUCCUUGGAAUAGGUAUAUUCUUGACACCAUCGUAGGUGGAAAUUUCAUGGGUAGCCAUACCGUUGAUUCUUACGGAGCUGUAAUAAAUUUGGUAGGCUCACCCCCACUCAUGGUUAAUGGAACUACCUUAACUCUGGAACAUGUGAUGCGUAGGCUGGACGUCAUUGAAAAUAAAGUUGCUACAAUCGAACUUAUUGAGAAUUUGGAUAAAAAGAUCCACAACCAAAUCACUUAGUACGGAUCCAAGGUGGGAAUGGUUUUGAAAAAAUUAAAGGAGAAGGAACCCACAGUUAACAAAAAACUAGGUCAUGAUUCCGCUAGGAUUGGCAAACUAGAGGAUGUUAUAACCAACUUGGGUUCUGCUUUUGCCGCUGUGCAGAAUACUCCAACUUUUGCCCACAAUAAGAUCACCAAGUCUGUCUUUGUUCCUAAAAAUAGUGGCGAAUCAUCUAGAAAGAAAGAUGAAGACCUUAAGAUGAUGAAUGAUCACGCCACUUAUGGUUUGAGCACCAAAGACGAUGAUACGUGAUUUUAUCGCCUUAUGCCUAGCUAAGGGCGUUAAACAAUAGCGCUUGUUGGGAGGCAACCCAAUGAAUUUAUCUUUUUCUUUCUGUUUUGUUGCGUCCACACCAUCCUAAUUCUUUUAUGAUUGUGUUUUUUGUGUUUCUUUUUGUGUUUGAGCCAAGCAAAACCUUUAUGACUAGUCUUGGUGAUCGUUGUUUGAUCCUGCUCGAAAAAGACAGAAACUUUUCGCUCACAAGAUGAUUUUUCAUUUUUAUUCAGAAAGAGCUUUUGAGUUGAUUCUUUUUUAUUCUCGUUGAUAUACCUUUUUCCCACGCAAUCGUAAUUUUUCAGAAUUUUUGAGGUACCAGAAGUAUACAGAUUGCUACAGACUCGUCUAUUUUUGACAGAUUCUGUUUUUGUUGUGUUGGUUGCUUGUUUUGAUGAAACUAUGGAUAGUAUCGGGGGGUACUAGCCAUGGAAAAGUGAUAAUACAAUAGCCUAACACCAAUAUAAAUAGAAAUCAAGAUUUCUACAGUACCUAAAGAGGUGGUAGUUUGUUUUCUUGUGCUAAUAUUAUCACGAGUUUCUGUUUAAGUUUGUGUUGUGAAGUUUUCAAGUUUUGGGUGAUGUUAUCAUGGACAAAGAGAUAAGGAGUGGAAAGAGCUCAAGCUUGGGGAUGCCAAAGGCAUCCCAAGCCAAAUUCAAGGACACCAAAAAGCAUAAGCUUGGGGAUGCCCUGGGAAGGCAUCCCCUCUUUCGUCUUCAAUCCAUCGGUAACAUUACUUGGAGCUAUAUUUUUAUUCACCACAUGAUAUGUGUCUUGCUUGGAGCAUCUUGUAUCGUAGGAGUCUUUUAUUUUUGUCGUGUCACAAUCAUCCUUGCUGCACACCUUUUUAAGAGAGAGACAUGCACUCAUCGUGAUUGUACUAGAAUACUCAUCGUGCUUCACUUAUAUCUUUUGAGCUAGAUAAUUUUGCUCAUUGUGCUUCACUUAGAUCUUUUAGAGCAUCGCGGUGCGUGACUUGGUAGUUGGCUUAUGCUAUGAAAGUAGUCCCAAAGGUGAUAGGUACCCAAAUAGGAUACAAAACUUCCAUCUUCAUGUGCAUUGAGUAGAAAGAGAAGUCUUGAUUCCUCUCAAUUAGUUUUGAGACGUGGAUUUGGUAAUGUUAAGAGUUAUGUUAGUAGGGUGUUGUGAAUCUAGAAAUACUUGUGUUGAAGUUAGUGAUUCUCGUAGCAUGCAUGUAUGGUGAACCGCUAUGUUAGGAAGCCGGAGCAUAAUUGAUCUAUUGAUUGUCAUCCUUUGUGUUGAGGUCGAGAUCGCGCGAUGGUUAACACCUACCAACCCUUCCCCUAGGAGUAUGUGUUUAGCACUUUGUUUUGAUUACUAAUAAAAAAUUUCGCAACAAGUAUGUGAGUUCUUCAUGACUAAUGUGAGUCCAUGGUAUAGAUGCACUUUCACCUUCCACCUUUGCUAGCCUCUCUAGUGCCGCGCAACUUUCACCCGUGCACAAACCCACCAUAUGCCUUCCUCAAAAGAACCACCAUACCUACCUACUAUGGCAUUUUCAUAGCCAUUCCAAGAUAUAUUGCCAUGCAACUCCCACCGUUCCGUCUCAUGACUUGUGUCGUCACUCUCAUAUUGCCUUUGCAUGAUCGUAAGAUAGCUAGCGAGAUGUUUCAGCAUCAUACACCAAGCUAGAUCGUUGCACAUCCCGGUACACUGCCGGAGGCAUUUCCUAUAGAGUCAUCAUCGUUCUAAGCUUUGAGCUGUGAGUAAAUAAAAGUGUGAUGAUCCUNNNNNNNNNNNNNNNNNNNNNNNNNNNNNNNNNNNNNNNNNNNNNNNNNNNNNNNNNNNNNNNNNNNNNNNNNNNNNNNNNNNNNNNNNNNNNNNNNNNNUGAUCCAGUUAUCAAGCAACAACACUUUGUUCAUAAUCAGAAGACACUGACUAUCUUUGAUCAACUGGCUAGCCAACUAGAGGCUUGCUAGGGACAGUGUUUUGUCUAUGUAUCCACACAUGUAAAUGAGUCUUCAUUCAAUACAAUUAUAGCAUGGAUAAUAAACGAUUAUCUUGAUACAGGAAUUAUAAUAAUAAAUAUAUUUAUUAUUGCCUCUAGGGCAUAAUUCCAACACGCCUGUCUUUGCCGACAGCUGGCUGAGGGCAAAGCCACGUGCCUUAUCCAGCCACCCCUGAUCGAGAGCAUCUCCCCGUGCCCACCUUUCUCUCGCGACCUCACCGCUAGGGUUCCCCACCGCCGCCGGCCUCCUCGGUCGCCGCCGCCGGCCUCCUAGGUCGCAGCUGCUGCCCUACCGGUGGUCGCCGCCCUCACCUGUCGUUGUCGCCGUCGGUCUCCGCUCCGUUCCCACCCCCACCGUGAGCGAGGAGACCGACCGGUUCGCGCCUCCCCGGUGGUCUCCAUCUGCCGCCGCCCCUUCCCGUUCAUUCAGGCGGCAAGCUCAUCUGCGACCACGAGUACACAUCUCCUACAGCUCGAGGCACACAUCUCCUACGGUCAUCCGCCGACUGUGCUCUUCUUGCUCAGAGGCACACAUCUCCUACAGCUCCAUUACUCCGGUCCGGCAAGGUAUAAGCUUUUCUAUGCUUCACAUCUGUAAAUUUAUUUGUGCUAUUAAACUUUAUUCUGAUCUGCAUUUUAUUUGUGUUGUUAAACUUUAUUUACAAAUUCAGUUUAUAGUGAUACACUUGCAUAGUACAGUCUCUGCAUUUUUUAUACUGUUCAAUGUUGUUUAUAAAUACAGCUUGAACUAAUAAACUUGCACAUCCAUUUGAUCAAACCACGAGUACAAAACAUACUUUAGCUACCAUUCUUGUAUAAGAAAACAAAUGCAGCACAAGCAGGUCAGGAGCAUCUGCACCUGCUCGCAGUCAAUAUGUCACCAUCUUUGGGAGCAUCAGGCUCACUUUAACAUAGGAUCAGAAGAACAAGUAGGAAGAGUGGAGGAGAGGGACACGGAAGGGAGAGUGGCAUGGAGGAUGAACAUGGUCGCAAGACACAAUGAGAGAACCAUCGCUUCAAUCGCAGGGAAGCAGGGCACAAAUUCAAGACCAUAACCCAAUGCUACCAAAAAUUUAACAAGUCCAUGUCUUCCUGAACCUGAAGUAAAACAUGAAAAUGCAGAACAAUAUAAGCAGCCUAGGAUUUGCACAAUAGAAGAAAUUUUCCAUGAACAAUGAAAUAGGGUACGUAGUACCUUCUUCGCGAAAAUUCAUCCAUCAAUUGUUUUUCAGCCACCUUCUGAGCUUUUUUACUUGCAUUCGUGUGCGGGCAUCGGAAUAUUUAGAGCACUCUGUUUCAAACUUGAAUAAUAAGUUAUUAAUAAUAGAUGUUAGUAUUAGUUAGCUUAAUUACCGCGAGUGCGUAUUUGUGUUGAUUGAGUGCAUUUAAAUGUGCAGUAGCUUCUCCGCGAGGGAUUGGUUUUCGACGACCUCCCCUGCAUUCGAAAGUGAGCACAUUUGUUAAGUCCUCCUCCAUCCCCUUUAUUUUGCUCUGUUCCGGCCUUCGUGUUGAUGACACUAUCUAGCUAGGUAUUUUUAGUAUUAAAAUGCAAAGGUGUUGCGUAACCAAUAUGCAUCUCCCGUUCGAAAGGGUUCCUGUCAUAAAUAUGCAUGCAUUUGCAUAUUUAUAACGGUGAUUCUUUCGAAUUGUCCAACGUUAUCCAUGGACAGCCCGGGUAUGUGUAGAUUGGGUCGUUUCCCACGCUUUGCUCCGGAUCCCAUGCAGAGUUUCGACAGCUCCUCCAUGUUGUUCUCCGGGUACACAUCCUCUCGGUUAGUUGUCGAGACGUGUAUCAGGAGAAUAGUGGGGAGGUGCUGCCGAAAUUUUGCGUUGGUUCGGGAGCAGAGCAUGGGGAAAUGACCCAAUCUACACAUACUCGGGUGGGAUUAGGACCCAUCUUUACCUAGUAGCUGGUAGGUGUGCAUGCCGUGCAUCCCAAUGUAUUAACCAUGAUUAGAAAAUGGCCAUAAUUAAUUUAACAUACUUGAUGAAUUGAUAAUUUAUAUUGUUUUAUAUGUGGAUACUAUGUAGCUAGCUUGCCAGAAUGACUGAUCGUGAAUGGAUGUACACCGGUCACCAUAGUCAGAGAGAUAUGACCGAUGAAUGGUUGAGCAAAACCUAUGAAUUCGUGGAAACGACGUUUUCUAAAGGCCAGCCAAAAACAUGGUGCCCCUGCAAUAAGUGCAAGAAUUAUUCGCAAUAGACAAAGGAUGUAAUGGGUAAACACCUGCAGAUGUGUGGUUUUACUCCCGGCUAUACCUUGUGGACAUUUCAUGGUGAGUCGGCCCAACGUAACAGAGACGAGGUGUUGCAUCGGCGCACCGAUGAUUAUGGUACAGGGAUUGAAGACAUGGUGAAUGACUUUGAUGAUGCUCGGAACAAGGACGAAGAGAUGAAGGAAUCCGCGAAAGCCUUCUAUGCCAUGUUGGAGUCUUCAAAACGUCCUCUUCACGAGCACACUAAGAUUUUCAGCUAGAUGCCAUCGCACAAGUAAUGGCUCUAAAAGCCCAGUUCAACAUUGGAAGAGACCUGUUUGACUCAGUGAUGACCCUAUUUGGGCGCUUUCUACCAGAAGGUCAUAUUAUGCCUUCAAACCUAUAUGAGUCAUACAAAAUCAUUAGUGCACUCAAGAUGCCGUAUGAGCAGAUACAUGCUUGUGAGAAGGGAUGUGCCUUAUUUAGGAAAGAGUAUGCGGACGAAACAUAUUGUCCAUUUUGUAAGUCCUCCAGAUAUGUUGAGGUAGAAAACGGUGAAGGUGAGAAGAAGCAGAGCAAAAUCCUCGUGAGUGUCCUACGGUAUGCCGAUCUUACCAAGACUUCAACGACUUUACAUGCUCGAAGAAACAGCAAAACAGAUGACAUGGCACAAACAUGGAAUUAGGAAAGAAUUAGAUGAACACGGAGUUCAGAUGUUGGUACACCCUUCAGAUGGUGACGCAUGGAAGGCAUUCGAUAGUAUACAUAAGGAAAAAGCUAAAGAACCAAGGAAUUGUCGAAUCGCCAUCAGCCUCGAUGGGUUCAAUCCUUUUGGUAUGACGGCUACCCAAUAUAGUUGCUGGCCUGUAUUCGUCAUUUCCCUCAAUCUUCCACCAUCAUCCAUUAUGCAAAGAAAACACAUAUUUCUGACGUUGAUAGUUCCAGGGACAAACUACCCGGGGAAGAAUAUGAGUGUGUACAUGCAACCGCUGAUGGAUGACUUGAAAUAAGCUUGGGUGAAUGGGGUCAACACAUACGAUGCAGCUAAGAAAGAGAACUUUCAAAUGUAUGUUCGGUACCAAUACUCGUUGCAUGAUCUGCCAGCAUUUGCGCUUUUCGUUGCCUGGUGUGUGCAUGGAAGGUUCCCAUGCCCACAAUGCAAGGCAGCUCUUAAGUUUCAUUGGUUGCCGGCGGGUGGGAACUAUUCCUUCUUUGACUUGCAUAGACAGUUCUUGCCUAUGGACCAUCCAUUCAGAAAAGACAAGAAGAAUUUCAUGAAAGGUAAAGUUGUCAAACACUCAGCACCACCUGCGUUGACGGGGGCAGAAAUUAAUGAACAGUUAAAAUCUAUGGAGCCUGAUCCAAACCGUCCAGGGUAUUUCUUGGGUUAUAAUGAGGAACACGCCUGGACCCACAAGCCAUGCAUCUGGGAUCUCCCUACUUCGAAGACCUCUUACUUUCACACAACAUUGACAUGAUGCACACUGACAAGAAUAUCGCUAAGGCCCUUCUUGGCACAUUUUUCGGCACUGAUAAGGGCAAAGAUAAUACAAAGGCUAGAGUUGACCAGGAGACUCUGUGCGAUAGGCCAUCACUAAACAUGCGAGAACCGAAAGGAAGAAAAAAUUGGUCCAAUAAGAUGGUCCAAUAAGAUGGUCCAAUAGUUAGGUCUAUUUAGUUAUAAUACUUAGUUUCAUUCUUCAUUAACUUACAUUCAUAGGUGCUCCCGAGAUGGUUGGCCGAUAAGAUGGAUUGUUGGGAGAUGAUAGUGGACAGGUGGUGCACAAAGGCUUGGUUGAGCACCCACACUAUGGCCAAGGACCGUCGUGCCCAAUUGGUUGGUGUGCCACACCACCAAGGCAAUGCCAACAUCAAGCAAUACGCCAAAAAAUGGGUAUGUGUGCCUUGUUUUGUUUCAUCAAUAAUUCGUUCGUUCAUGAUAUUUGUUGUACUAAUUCUUUGUCUUUUCGUGUAGGCCAAACACAAUAACCAACCCGAGCCUGAGGGAUACACCGCGUUUAGCAUGGCCCAUAAGGGCUCGUACAAGACGGCGAAGGCAUAUUCUGAGGGGGACGGGCCGUCGGCGUACACAAGCCUGUUCGCCUACAACAAGAUGAUGUCUUAUUCUGAGGUGGUCAAACAGCUGCGCGGGCCUGACUUUGACCCGAGCCAGAAUCCUAUCGAUCCACAGGCGUUAAUGAUCUCUGGUGGCGGUAAGAGUCAUGGCACGCUGGCCAUGUGUGAUGGCUUCGUCCCUAUCACUGAGACUCUAUCUCAGAUCAAGUCGAGGCAAACGAGUUCCGCUCCUGUAAUACGGCAACGCGCGAGGCUAGUUGAUCUUGCCAUCGAGGUUAGUUUUCUUCAUUAUUUCUUUCGUUCUUUUGUCCCUGGAUGGAUGAUGAAAAUUCCUUUUGAGGAGUGGUUGCAGGACGCACUUAUGAAGGAGAGGGAGGCCACCAGGCUCUUGUUGGAGGAGAGGGACCGGAAUACACAGAGGUUUCUUGAGUUGGAGAGGGCACACAAUAAUACCCAUGCGAAGGCCAUGCAUGACUUCGUUUCAGUAAGUCAUUUGUGUGAGACGCAAGGCUAUGUGUGAGACGCAACAAGGCUAUUUCAUUGACUCCUCGAAAACUAAUUUGCAGGCUAUGUGUGAGAAGCAAGGUUUGUCGCCCCCUCCGCCGAUGCCUUCUCCGGUGGGAACGGUGAGUUCCCUUUCAAUGACCAACCUUGCACGGUCUUAUACCAUUGUCUGUUGUCAUGCUAACCACAUAUUUUAACUCUUGCCUUGUUGCAGCAUCAUUCCAGAGUUGAAUCCCACGACCCCUUUACUUCUCCUGGUGAGAGCCCUAGCAACCCAGCGACCAACGGAGAUGGAGCUUCUCCUCCGUUUCUUGGCAUUCAGUAAGUUAUUCCUCUCCUUCUUAUUCUUCUUAUUAUUUAGAUCAACUUAGAUUACGCCAUGCUUUAGUUAGCUUAGUAAAUUCUAGUUGAUAUUAGCCAUGGUUUAGUUAGCUUAGUAAAUUCGAGUUGAUAUUAGAGCUCAAAAAUGACAUAAUUAGUUUAGAAAGUUUUAAAAGAAACCAGAAGAGAAGAACAAACAAGAGAUGAAGAAAUAAGAGAAGAACAAAGAGGAGAAAAAGAUAACUUCUCUUCUUUCUUUUUCUCUAUCUUCUUCUUCAUCUUCUUCCACUUCUUCCACUUCUUCUUCUUGUUCUUCUUCCUCUUCUUCUUCCACUUCUUCUUCUAAUUGCUUAGUUUAAUUUAGAUAACUUCUUUCUUAUUGUAUUCUUCUUCUAACUUCU
rnacentral:lncRNA from 1 species